ensembl:snRNA U6 U6 spliceosomal RNA
GUGCCCACUUCGGCAGCACCUAUACUAAAAUUGGAACAAUACAGAGAAGAUUAGCAUUGCCCUUGUGCAAGAAUGACAUGCAAAUUUGUGAAGCAUUUCAUAUUUUU